GGAGUCUGGGCCGUAUCUCAGUCCCAAUGUGGCCGAUCACCCUCUCAGGCCGGCUACCGAUCGUCGCCUUGGUGGGCCGUUGCCCCGCCAACUAGCUAAUCGGACGCAAGCUCAUCCCCUGCCGAUAAAUCUUUUGUCAACCCCGGAUGUCCAGGGCCACUAUAUCCGGUAUUACCCGCGCGUUGGCACGGCUAUUCCCGGGCAGGGGGCAGAUUGCUUACGCGUUACUCACCCGUUCGCCGCUAUGCAUUGCUGCACCGCUCGACUUGCAUGUAUAAGACACGCCACCAGCGUUCGUU
rnacentral:rRNA from 1 species